ACCACAAGAACGUUGAUCAUAAGAGACAAAGAUUGCUUUCAUACCUGAAACAGCUUGGAGUAAGCAUUUUGGACACAGAAGAAAGAACGCUCAUAGUGGGAAAUAACUGGAUAAUAAUUUAACAUUUCUAGAGCCAGGCCGAUGUCAACAAAGUGCAAACAGUCACUCGUAUUACUAAGCACCUAUCCAUUGGGUUGAAUAGAACAACUUCUGUUUGAUUUGACUCACCAGCAACAUUCCAAUGAUGUAGAAAGUCAGAGGAAUCCGAGAAAGAAAUUAAAAAGCCUUCAUAAUCCGGGAGCUAGAGGUAGCCACAAUGGCCAUUUGGCAGCUGGAGAGGGUCUCCACAGCAGAACACUGCGGCUGGAGGUGAGGAAGGAGUGGCGUAAGUGA
rnacentral:lncRNA from 1 species